GGAAGGAUGGCCGAGUGGUUAUGGCGUGUGACUCAAGCGUCUGCUUCUUCACUUUCUAAAGUGGGGUUUCUCAUGGGCUUUGCCCGCGGGGGUUCGAAUCCCCCUCCUUUCA
rnacentral:tRNA from 1 species